rnacentral:rRNA from 1 species
AUUGAACGCUGGCGGCAUGCCUUACACAUGCAAGUCGAACGGCAGCAUGAUCUAGCUUGCUAGAUUGAUGGCGAGUGGCGAACGGGCGAGUAAUACAUCGGAACGUGCCCUGUAGUGGGGGAUAACUAGUCGAAAGAUUAGCUAAUACCGCAUACGACCUGAGGGUGAAAGUGGGGGACCGCAAGGCCUCAUGCUAUAGGAGCGGCCGAUGUCUGAUUAGCUAGUUGGUGAGGUAAAGGCUCACCAAGGCGACGAUCAGUAGCUGGUCUGAGAGGACGAUCAGCCACACUGGGACUGAGACACGGCCCAGACUCCUACGGGAGGCAGCAGUGGGGAAUUUUGGACAAUGGGCGAAAGCCUGAUCCAGCAAUGCCGCGUGUGUGAAGAAGGCCUUCGGGUUGUAAAGCACUUUUGUCCGGAAAGAAAUGGCUCUGGUUAAUACCUGGGGUCGAUGACGGUACCGGAAGAAUAAGAACCGGCUAACUACGUG